CAGCAUGCCCUUUGCCGAGGCACAACCACAACUCCACCCUGCCGCCUGCUCAGUUUCUUCUUCACGACCCUGCCGUUGCCGCAGCCAGCUGCGCCUUCCUCGUCCAACAAGGGAAGAAAAUGCAAGCUGAGGAAAAAGGCAGCCAUAGCCAAACGAAAACAAAGAAAUCAACAACUAGUUGUUGUUUCCGCCGCUACCACCAG
rnacentral:lncRNA from 1 species